AAAGCUAAAAAUAUAUUCACACCUGACUAAAGGUGAAGAAUUCAUCGUCUACAUUCAAAAUGUUCCCAAGGGAUACAUUGUGAACACAAGUUUAGAUAACCUUACAACCUGGGCCACACGCGUUCGAGGUGUCGAUUUGAUUGCUCCGAAAUUCAGUGAUAACUGCACCAUUCUUAAGUGCGUAGCCGAGUGUGGUCCGGUCACCGACUAAAAAUUCAGAUGCUGUUUUCUUAAUUGCUAGAUGAGUGCUUUGAAAUUUAUAAGAAAUCCUUUUGUCGAAUAAAAAUGAAUACCACACGUGAA